rnacentral:rRNA from 1 species
AGAGUUUGAUCCUGGCUCAGGAUGAACGCUGGCGGCGUGCCUAACACAUGCAAGUCGAACGGACUUUUCAUGAAGCCUAGCGAUUGAAAAGUUAGUGGCGGACGGGUGAGUAACGCGUGGGUAACCUGCCUUGUACUGGGGGACAACAGUUGGAAACGACUGCUAAUACCGCAUAAGCGCACAGCUUCGCAUGAAGCAGUGUGAAAAACUCCGGUGGUACAAGAUGGACCCGCGUCUGAUUAGCUGGUUGGUGAGGUAACGGCCCACCAAGGCGACGAUCAGUAGCCGGCCUGAGAGGGUGAACGGCCACAUUGGGACUGAGACACGGCCCAAACUCCUACGGGAGGCAGCAGUGGGGAAUAUUGCACAAUGGGGGAAACCCUGAUGCAGCAACGCCGCGUGAGUGAAGAAGUAUUUCGGUAUGUAAAGCUCUAUCAGCAGGAAAGAAAAUGACGGUACCUGACUAAGAAGCCCCGGCUAACUACGUGCCAGCAGCCGCGGUAAUACGUAGGGGGCAAGCGUUAUCCGGAUUUACUGGGUGUAAAGGGAGCGUAGACGGUUUUGCAAGUCUGAAGUGAAAGCCCGGGGCUUAACCCCGGGACUGCUUUGGAAACUGUAGAACUAGAGUGCAGGAGAGGUAAGUGGAAUUCCUAGUGUAGCGGUGAAAUGCGUAGAUAUUAGGAGGAACACCAGUGGCGAAGGCGGCUUACUGGACGGUAACUGACGUUGAGGCUCGAAAGCGUGGGGAGCAAACAGGAUUAGAUACCCUGGUAGUCCACGCCGUAAACGAUGA